AGUGAAUAAUUAAACGGCCGCGGUACCCUAACCGUGCAAAGGUAGCGUAAUCACUUGUCUAUUAAUUGUAGACCAGUAUGAAAGGCAAAAUGAGGGUCCAACUGUCUCUUAUAGUAAAUCAAUUAAACUGAUCUUCUAGUAAAAAAGCUAGAAUACUCACACAAGACCAGAAGACCCUGUGAAGCUUAAACUAAACUACUAAACCAAAUAGUAACUACUUUCGGUUGGGGCGACCUUGGAACAAAAAAGAACUUCCAAAUACAAUACCACUUCAAACCACCAUCAUAGGCUUACAAGCCCACACCCAGACCCAGCACAGCUGAAAAUUGAACCCAGUUACUCCAGGGAUAACAGCGCCAUCUUCUUCAAGAGCCCAUAUCAAAAAGAAGGUUUACGACCUCGAUGUUGGAUCAGGACAUCCUAA
rnacentral:rRNA from 1 species